GAAAUGCGAUAAGUAAUGUGAAUUGCAGAAUUCAGUGAAUCAUCGAAUCUUUGAACGCACCUUGCGCUCCUUGGUAUUCCUUGGAGCAUGCCUGUUUGAGUAUCAUGAAAUCUUCAAAGUAAAUCUUUUGUUAACUCAAUUGGCUUCUACUUUGGUAUUGGAGGUCUUUGCAGCUUCACACCUGCUCCUCUUUGUUCAUUGGCUGGAUCUCAGUGUUAUGCUUGGUUCCACUCGGCGUGAUAAGUUAUCUAUCGCUGAGGACACUGUAAAAGGUGGCCAAGGUAAAUGCAGAUGAACCGCUUCUAAUAGUCCAUUGACUUGGACAAUACUUUUAUGAUCUGAUCUCAAAUCAGGUAGGACUACCCGCUGAACUUAAGC
rnacentral:misc_RNA from 1 species